GAUGAACGCUAGCGGCAGGCUUAAUACAUGCAAGUCGUGGGGCAGCGCAGUGUAGCAAUACAUGGGCGGCGACCGGCAAACGGGUGCGUAACACGUACGCAACCUUCCCGUUACUGGGGAAUAGCCCAGGGAAACUUGGAUUAAUAACCCAUAUUAUAUUGAUUGGGCAUCUAAUUAAUAUCAAAGCUUCGGCGGUAACGGAUGGGCGUGCGGUUGAUUAGGUAGUUGGCGGGGUAACGGCCCACCAAGCCUACGAUCAAUAGCUGAUGUGAGAGCAUGAUCAGCCACACGGGCACUGAGACACGGGCCCGACUCCUACGGGAGGCAGCAGUAAGGAAUAUUGGGCAAUGGACGAAAGUCUGACCCAGCCAUGCCGCGUGGAGGAUGAAGGUCCUCUGGAUUGUAAACUUCUUUUUUCUGGGGCGAAAACCGGUUUUUCUAAACCAUUUGACAGUACCAGAAGAAUAAGCACCGGCUAACUCCGUGCCAGCCGCCGCAGUAAAAC
rnacentral:rRNA from 1 species